GAUGUGGCUCAGUGACAGAGUGCUUGCCUGAAAAGCAUGAGGCCCUGGGUUCAAUCCCAAGCACA
rnacentral:tRNA from 1 species